rnacentral:rRNA from 1 species
AUUGAACGCUGGCGGCAUGCCUUACACAUGCAAGUCGAACGGCAGCGCGGGAGCAAUCCUGGCGGCGAGUGGCGAACGGGUGAGUAACAUAUCGGAACGUGCCCUGGAGUGGGGAGUAACUAGUCGAAGAAUUAGCUAAUACCGCAUACGCUCUGUGGAGGAAAGUAGGGGAGUCGCAAGACCUCAUGCUCGUGGAGCGGCCGGUAUCUGANAGCUAGUUGGUAGGUAAAGCCUACCAAGGCGACGAUCAGUAGCUGGUCUGAGAGGACGACCAGCCACACUGGGACUGAGACACGGCCCAGACUCCUACGGGAGGCAGCAGUGGGAAUUUUGGACAAUGGGGCAACCCUGAUCCAGCAAUGCCGCGUGAGUGAAGAAGGCCU